rnacentral:rRNA from 1 species
GCCUCCCUCCGCGCCAUCAGACUCCUACGAGAGGCAGCAGUGGGGAAGUCUUGCACAAUGGGCGAAAGCCUGAUGCAGCAACGCCGCGUGAGGGACGAAGGCUUUCUUGAGUUGUAAACCUACUUUCUAGCAGGGACGGAUUGUGACGGUACCUGCAGAAGA